GUAGGUGAACCUGCGGAAGGAUCAUUGAAAGUAGAAGACUAGUGGGGGGGGGGAAGAGAAAAACGGUAAGCCUGUAUUCUUUCCUGGGAAGGAGAGAAAACGGUAAGCCUGUAUUCUUUCCUGGAAGCGAGAACAAAACCACUGGUGACUCUGAUGUUGCCGCCCGUGCUGGCUGCUGGUACCAAAAACCAGCUGCUGGUGCUUCUCUUUUCCUUAUGUGGAUUUCCACUUUUGAUUUUUUGUCUGAUGA
rnacentral:misc_RNA from 1 species